UGAACGCUAGCUACAGGCUUAACACAUGCAAGUCGAGGGGCAUCAGGAAGAAAGCUUGCUUUCUUUGCUGGCGACCGGCGCACGGGUGAGUAACACGUAUCCAACCUGCCCUUUACUCGGGGAUAGCCUUUCGAAAGAAAGAUUAAUACCCGAUGGCAUAAUGAUUCCGCAUGGUUUCAUUAUUAAAGGAUUCCGGUAAAGGAUGGGGAUGCGUUCCAUUAGGUUGUUGGUGAGGUAACGGCUCACCAAGCCUUCGAUGGAUAGGGGUUCUGAGAGGAAGGUCCCCCACAUUGGAACUGAGACACGGUCCAAACUCCUACGGGAGGCAGCAGUGAGGAAUAUUGGUCAAUGGGCGCUAGCCUGAACCAGCCAAGUAGCGUGAAGGAUGAAGGCUCUAUGGGUCGUAAACUUCUUUUAUAUAAGAAUAAAGUGCAGUAUGUAUACUGUUUUGUAUGUAUUAUAUGAAUAAGGAUCGGCUAACUCCGUGCCAGCAGCCGCGGUAAUACGGAGGAUCCGAGCGUUAUCCGGAUUUAUUGGGUUUAAAGGGAGCGUAGGUGGACUGGUAAGUCAGUUGUGAAAGUUUGCGGCUCAACCGUAAAAUUGCAGUUGAUACUGUCAGUCUUGAGUACAGUAGAGGUGGGCGGAAUUCGUGGUGUAGCGGUGAAAUGCUUAGAUAUCACGAAGAACUCCGAUUGCGAAGGCAGCUCACUGGACUGCAACUGACACUGAUGCUCGAAAGUGUGGGCAUCAAACAGGAUUAGAUACCCUGGUAGUCCACACAGUAAACGAUGAAUACUCGCUGUUUGCGAUAUACAGUAAGCGGCCAAGCGAAAGCAUUAAGUAUUCCACCUGGGGAGUACGCCGGCAACGGUGAAACUCAAAGGAAUUGACGGGGGCCCGCACAAGCGGAGGAACAUGUGGUUUAAUUCGAUGAUACGCGAGGAACCUUACCCGGGCUUAAAUUGCAGUGGAAUGAUGUGGAAACAUGUCAGUGAGCAAUCACCGCUGUGAAGGUGCUGCAUGGUUGUCGUCAGCUCGUGCCGUGAGGUGUCGGCUUAAGUGCCAUAACGAGCGCAACCCUUAUCUUUAGUUACUAACAGGUUAUGCUGAGGACUCUAGAGAGACUGCCGUCGUAAGAUGUGAGGAAGGUGGGGAUGACGUCAAAUCAGCACGGCCCUUACGUCCGGGGCUACACACGUGUUACAAUGGGGGGUACAGAAGGCAGCUAGCGGGUGACCGUAUGCUAAUCCCAAAAGCCUCUCUCAGUUCGGAUCGAAGUCUGCAACCCGACUUCGUGAAGCUGGAUUCGCUAGUAAUCGCGCAUCAGCCACGGCGCGGUGAAUACGUUCCCGGGCCUUGUACACACCGCCCGUCAAGCCAUGGGAGCCGGGGGUACCUGAAGUACGUAACCGCAAGGAUCGUCCUAGGGUAAAACUGGUGACUGGGGCUAA
rnacentral:rRNA from 1 species